rnacentral:rRNA from 1 species
UGCAAGUCGAGCGCAGUCCUUCGGGACCGAGCGGCGGACGGGUUAGUAACGCGUGGGAACAUACCCCUUUCUACGGAAUAGCCUCGGGAAACUGAGAGUAAUACCGUAUAAGCCCUUCGGGGGAAAGAUUUAUCGGGAAGGGAUUGGCCCGCGUUAGAUUAGAUAGUUGGUGGGGUAAUGGCCUACCAAGUCUACGAUCUAUAGCUGGUUUUAGAGGAUGAUCAGCAACACUGGGACUGAGACACGGCCCAGACUCCUACGGGAGGCAGCAGUGGGGAAUCUUAGACAAUGGGCGCAAGCCUGAUCUAGCCAUGCCGCGUGUGUGAUGAAGGUCUUAGGAUCGUAAAGCACUUUCGCCAGGGAUGAUAAUGACAGUACCUGGUAAAGAAACCCCGGCUAACUCCGUGCCAGCAGCCGCGGUAAUACGGAGGGGGUUAGCGUUGUUCGGAAUUACUGGGCGUAAAGCGUACGUAGGCGGAUCAGAAAGUUAGGGGUGAAAUCCCGAGGCUCAACCUCGGAACUGCCUCUAAAACUCCUGGUCUUGAGUUCGAGAGAGGUGAGUGGAAUUCCAAGUGUAGAGGUGAAAUUCGUAGAUAUUUGGAGGAACACCAGUGGCGAAGGCGGCUCACUGGCUCGAUACUGACGCUGA